UAUAUUACAGUCUAGGGCUUGCUGCUGAAAAGCCCGCUGGAUCCUCCACUGACCUGCUGUUCUUUCCUGCUUUCCUCUCGUGUUUUUUCCACAUUUAGAUUAAAAACAAAGCUCUCUCUCUCUUUCUCUCUCUCUCUCUCACUCCCAUCUCCCCUCCCUCCCUUCUUCUUCUUCUUCUUCUUCUUCUUCUUCUCCUCCUUCCUAUCCUUCUUCUUUUCUGCGGCUGCAGUCAAGGCAGAGACUUCAGCGUGUCAAAGAGAGGGUGAGGAGGAAAAACGCAGAGAGAGGAAGACUGUUUGGACGGAGCUGAGAGUGUGUUUACAUUCGUAUGUUUUGCUUUUGGACGGUGGUCGGGUGAAGGGGCACGAGGAGGAGGAGGAGGCGGAGGAAGACGAGGAGGAGAGCCUGCCCGGAUGAAAUUCUCUGUCAUGUGUGGACCUUGACUGAUCACAGGGUGAGGAGAGAGAGUGAGCGAGGGAGAGACACCACAGGAAAGACAAGAAAGUCGAUAGAGAAAGAAAGAGAGGAGGAAAAACUGAGACUGUGGAGAAGAAGGGAGAGGAGAAGAAGGGGGCAAAGUCUGCUGCUCCCUUUUUAUCAUGACGUUGUUAGAUAAACAAGGCAACAGAUUGAAAACUCAGAAGUUGUGUGUCAAUAGGAAUUCUCCCUCAGAAGAAAGUGAAGGAGGAGAAAGACUGUGAGGAGUAAACACUGCUGUGUUCAACCCAGCUAAGGAGCAGAGGCAGGACUUUGAGUGUGUGAGUGUGUGUGAGUGGGUGUGUAACCAGUGGAGGGCAGAGGAGUGGAGGGCCAGGGGACUAACCUGGCCAUCAAACGGACUGGCAGCCUCUCCUCUCCUGGGAUCAUGUACCCUCAGGGAAGGCAUCCGGUACCCUUGCAGCCCGGCCAGUCUUUUAAGUUCACAGUCCUGGAAACCCUGGACCGAAUCAAGGAGGAAUUCCAGUUCCUCCAGGCGCAAUAUCACAGCCUGAAACUGGAGUGUGAGAAGCUGGCGAGUGAGAAGACUGAGAUGCAGAGGCACUACAUCAUG